UAGUUCGUAGCUCAGUAUCCAGAUUAUAAUCGGAUGUACCUCUAUUUCCGAUCUGGAAGGUUCAAUCUGGAAGAUUAUGAAAAUAUGGAUGAAGCUGCAA
rfam:Methanosarcina barkeri str. Fusaro, complete genome.